rnacentral:sRNA from 1 species
UUCAGUAUGUUUUUGCCCUAAACAUUUUGAUAGUCGCUCAAUUGGUUGCAUUUAUUCUGUUCUGCAAAACAAACUCUGUGCUUCAUCAAAAUAUCAUAUCAACUCUAAAAAGUAAAUAUAAAGAACAAUACCAAGAGAAAGGAACGGAUGCCUUUAGCAAGACUGUAAAUCUGGUUCAGGUUUAUUUUCGUUGCUGUGCGAUUGACGAGAAAGACUUCGCUACGCAUGUACAUUUGUUCGUAUGUAGAAAGGUAAGAG